UACGGAGGGUGCAAGCGUUAUCCGGAUUUACUGGGUUUAAAGGGUGCGUAGGUGGGUAAGUAAGUCAGUGGUGAAAUCUCCGGGCUUAACCCGGAAACUGCCAUUGAUACUAUUUGUCUUGAAUACUGUGGAGGUCAGCGGAAUAUGUCAUGUAGCGGUGAAAUGCUUAGAUAUGACAUAGAACACCAAUUGCGAAGGCAGCUGGCUACACAAAUAUUGACACUGAGGCACGAAAGCGUGGGGAUCAAACAGG
rnacentral:rRNA from 1 species